UACGUAGGGUGCGAGCGUUAAUCGGAAUUACUGGGCGUAAAGCGUGCGUAGGCGGUUCGUUAAGUUCGUUGUGAAAGCCCCGGGCUCAACCUGGGAAUGGCAAUGGAAACUGGCGGGCUGGAGUAUGGCAGAGGGGGGUGGAAUUCCGCGUGUAGCAGCGAAAUGCGUAGAGAUGCGGAGGAACACCGAUGGCGAAGGCAGCCCCCUGGGCCAAUACUGACGCUCAGGCACGAAAGCGUGGGGAGCAAACAGG
rnacentral:rRNA from 1 species